rnacentral:misc_RNA from 1 species
AACGCACAUUGCGCCCUUUGGUAUUCCUUAGGGCAUGCCUGUUCGAGCGUCAUUUACACCUUCAAGCACAGCUUGGUGUUGGGCGUCUGUCCCUCGCGGACUCGCCUCAAAAGGAUUGGCAGCCAUUCCAGCGGCUUUGAGCGCAGCAGAAUUGCGUCUUCUGGCAGCGGAGGGUGGCAUCCAUAAGCUUUCUUCUUAGUUUGACCUCGGAUCAGGUAGGGAUACCCGCUGAACUUAA